CUAUUUUGGCAGAUUAAUGUGCUAAGUUUAGGAUUUAUUUAUGUAAAGUUUUUACAAAUAGAAA
rnacentral:tRNA from 1 species